UGGCAGACGCUGGCUUAGUUGUUGUUGAAGAGUGGAAGGGGAAGGAGCGGAGACUUCGAGCAGCAGAAAAUCCUCAACAUUCGCAGUUAUUUUUUGUUGUUUCAGCGUUCCGUCUUACUCAAAACCAUCGCUUUCUUCUGUCAGCUACUUUUACGCGUUUUGCGAACCUGCCCCUAUAUGAAGGUAUUUAUAACUAGCUACAAUACUGUGCUAUUGUGCCUCCCUGUUUCUUAGUUAUAUAUGUAUUUCUUUGUAUAUAUUAGUAGAGAACGCAGCGGCUGCCUUUAGUUUUCUCAGUGGGUUGGGAUUCUGUUUAAUGAGCACAGUGAAAGUAUCGGUAUCAGCCAGUUUAAAACUAAGCGAGUUCGCUAGAAAACCAAGUGGGAGAAACUAUAGCUAUUAUAUAUUUAAUCGCUUAUGGUACGUGAUAUUGUGCGACUUAAACGCGCUGUUAGUGUGGGUUUAUUUGCCACGUCUCGCCGGGCUUAGCGAUAGUCUACAAAAUGGCGCCUGCUGGUUCUUAGGUGGGCGUGGCUUAGGCUGCCGGUCGCCAUUUUAAACUCUAUGAAAUUCCUUCCAAAUUCAAGAUGGCUGCCCAACCUUUUAUGGGCGGGGCUAGAAUGUUCUCGUAAAUCUGUAUGACGAUACCUGUGGUUAUUUCUAAGAUUAACCACAAUGUAAUAUGAGCGUCUAGUACAAUGUAGGCGUAUUCUAUUGUCCUGAAUUUUUUUUCAGCCCCUUUUCUUUCUAAUCAUUUAUACCGAAUUAACUUAAUGAUCAUGGCUAUUUAUAAAACCCAGAUUUCAAAUGGGCUUUAUUUCCCUUGCUGUGGGGAAGGGUUCCUAAUGCAGAUUUCAUGGUAAAGGUAUAGGACCUGUUAUUCAGAAUACUUGGGACCAAGGGUAUUCUGGAUUAGGGGUCUUUCUAUAAUUUGUAUCCCCAUAACUAGUCUAUUAAAAAAUCAAUAAAACAUGAAUUAAACCAAUAGGAUUGUUUUGCAUCCAAUAAGGAUUAAUUAUAUCUUAGUUGGGAUCAAGUUUAAAAUAGUCUGAGACAAGCUUUCCGUAACUCGGAGCUUUCUGGAUAAUGGGCUUCCAGAUAACUGAUCCCAUACCUGUAUAACUUUUCUAAAUAUAGGUCCGGGGCUUCUAAGGCACAGUAGCACAGUGUUGCAUUGUAAUUAAAUAUGUUAAGUUGUGCUGUAAAAGUAGCUGACAGUAUUUCUUCUUUGAUGCCAUUGGAUUCAGAAUGGACGGCAAAAAGACCGGAUCAACGUCAUGCAUUGCUGGACUGCAAUUACUCAACUACAUACUCGCUAAUGAACGGACAUUCCACUUUUUUUUUACUUAUUAUUCUCAGUUGAGAUUUUUUUUACUUUUUAUUACUUCUCAGUUGAGAUUGGUAAUAUUGUAUUGUCGUACUUUGUGCUGCUUUUCAUAUGUAUUUUUGUUUGUUUUAUUCAGCUGUGUUCAUAUAGGAAUAGUAUGCGCAUGUUUGAUAUUUGAUAUAAUUUUCUUAUCCUUUCAGAUGAUAUCGGCCUCACUAACCAUUAGUCUUUUUUACCUAAACCAGAUCCCUCUAUUGUCUAUAAGAGACAUGUCCCGUAUGUCAAAGGGAUGCUGCAGUAGCGGUCUUAAUCAGCUUGUGUUACUAUAGCAAUAUUUAACAUGUCAUUCCCCUGAUUUUUAUUUUAGUCCACAGUUCACCCUUUUUUCCAUUAAAUGGGAUUAUUUUUCAGAUGUUAACCAAGUUUGCUUCCAUUUUGUUCAGUUGUCAUUGGAUAGCUUCUUUUGAUACCUCAUCUUCAAUGCAGCUUGGUCCCUGUGAUGGCAGUGUACUGUCAGUCCCGUGGUAAGCAAUAACCCCACCCCUUACAUUACAUUUUUUGGCCCAAUUAAGCCCACAUUUGAAUUAAACUAAACCAGCCUGUUCAUAACCGUUUUACCUACUCCCUCUUCUGUAGGAUUUGCACCACUAAUAGAAAUGAUUGAAUUCUUGCCACUAAGCAGUGUAUUGUAGUCUCUUGGAGAGUUGUGGCAAGACUUUCUUUAAAAUAACACAUUCUACAAUAAUGCUAACAAUUGUUAGUAGUAUAGUUCCACAUUACUCAUUAUAAGCAGUAUAGGGACCCUGUAAACAAGUUUACUAGUAAUUACUUCAAGUUUUGUCAUGCAGUUUCUUCAAUUAUGCUGUUGCAUUCUUGCUUGAGUAGAAACUUAAUGAAAUCUGUAAUAUUAAUGCGUUCAGCUGUUCCCAGUGUUUCCGUAGGUAGUUUUUUUUUUCAGAUAGUAAUGGUUUUGAGUGACUUGUGACAUCUGCAAAGUCUUAAAUGUAUUUACAAGUAAGAAUUGAUUGUAUCAGAUUAUCAUUUUAUGUGUAACAAUUUUCAAAAUUAAAUUUACAGAUUGAUUUGUUUCGUCUCAUUUUAUUUUUUGUUGGUUAUAAACACUUUCUAGUAACUGUGUUUCAGAUGAGUAUGAAGUGCCCUGGAAAAAACAGCACCUUCUCUCAGCUUCUUACUCUGAAUUGGCUCCACUAAAUGCUAAGUACACAAAUGAUGGUUCUCACUAGUAAACAAUAUGUAAUACAAUAUAACCCGGUUAUUUCCGUAUAGAUUUCUCCUUUCAUGAUCAAAUGAUAGGAUUUCUAUGAUACAGACCUGGGUUACAGAAUGACUGAAAUAUCCUAAUACUACAGGAAAGUGUGGUAAUAUCUGAACAUUGCUUUCAUUUCCUUGGGCAGGUUGCGCAUCCUAAGUGGAGGUGAAAAGUCCAAAAAGACUAAAGUGGGCUGAAUCUGAGCGAAUUCUGCUAGGCAGAAGGCAGUUUGCGUACAUCCAGUUCCAGGAAGGUUAUAACACUUUUGUCAGGGUUUGGCCUCUGUGCCAGCGGUUCUUUUGCUGGGUAAGGUCUCCUAAGCCCUGCACAAGGUACAUGUAUACAACUCAAAGGGAAUGCACUGUUUCAGCUCGAGGAUGUGUAUGCAUACCUUUAUAUGUUCCUUAGUCAUGGUCUGCACAUGCAAUGCUGGCUGUAUGACUACAGGGAACCCCUUGACCAAGUAUAUAUUUAAUAGUUUUAGAACAAAUGUGUUGCUGCUUUGGUUUAUAGCAGUGCUUGAAUUUGUAUGCAGAAUAUUACUGGACCAUGCCAGCUGGUUAACUUUGCAAACUUGCAUGACAAUUGUGUAACCAUGCACAGAAACAAAUUAAGCAUCGUAAACAUAUUUGCAUUACAACAUACUUGCAUAAAAAGUACCCUCCAACAGUUAUCCUUUCUCUCUUUCUGGUCUCCUUGGUUAUAAAUUCCUCUCAAGAACAUAACUAUCCUGAUCUGCGUAAGCAAGACUUGACGAAUACUUGACAUCAAUUUUGUUGUGGUAUCUUGAGGUCUUUGUAAAAGCAACUACAAGGUAAAACAGUGGGGCAAAGCAGUGCAUGAAGGAAAAUGGGGGGGGGGUGAGAUGCUAAAGACUACAAGUAUAGAAGGAAAACAAUAUACACAUUUCAUGUAGUUGACAGAUGUCUCUGUGGGCGUUUUGUACCUAACACUUUACAAAAACAUGCCAAUCACCUGAAUUUAGUUUUUCUUUAGUAGUUAACAUUUUCGUCUGAUGCCACACACCAUGCAAGGGUUUUGUAUGUGUCUAAACAUAACUUUCCUUUUACUUGACCAGUGAUCCCCCAACCAGUGGCUCGUGAGCAGCAUGUUACUCACAACCCCUUGGAUGUUGCUCCCAGUGGCUUAAUACAGGUGCUCAUUUUUAAAUUUCUGGUAAGAAAGGCAAGUGUAUUUGGCACCCUUAUGAACCUUUUUCAUGCUUGUGUUGCUCCCCCAACACUUUUUCCAUUUAAAUGUGGGUUGUAUGUAUAAAAGGUCCCUGCAUUAGACUAUAUUUGAGUAUUAAAAGUGCUCAGUUUGUGCUAAAUACAUUAGCUGCUGCUUGGCCAUAGAAGCAGCCAUUCAUGGUAAAUUGGCCUUCAUGGUCUUAGGUUUACCUAAAAGAUCACAAUGGCAACAGAAGUUUUUAUCCCUUGAGUGAUAUGUCAAUACUCGGUGUAAAAAAAAAAAAACCUGGUUUGGGUGAGAACUAAAAAUACCGGAAUGCUUUUUUUAUUUCUACCAAUGUAGACUAUUUCAUCUGCUUUCUGAGAGGACUUGAGCUUGUGCCAUUGCUACAGAUGCCAACAGCAGCCUUCAGUUUGGGGUGGUCUGUUUGGUAAAGAUCAUGCAACCAAUUCACUCAGGACCACAGGUAUGGGAACAUGAAAGGGAGAUAUCUCGGUGCUUUACGGACAUUGUUUCGAACAAUCUCAUUUUUUAAUUUCUGGUAAGAAAGGCAAGUUUUGGUUGCAUAAAAACCAAGUAUAAUGCCAAACAGCAUACUGUAGGCUGCCAGUCUACAUAGGAGCUAUUAAGUAGCCGAUUAUAGUUCUUUAUUGGCACCCUUCUGAACCUUUUUCAUGCUUGUGUUGCUCCUACAACACUUUUUCCAUUUAAAUGUUGCUCACCUGUGUAAAAGGUCCCUGCAUUAGACUGUAUUUGAAUAUUAAAAGUACUCAGUUUGUGCUAAAAGCAUUAAUUGCUGCUUGACCAUAAAGGCAGCCAUUUGUGGUAAAUUGGCCUUCAUGGUCUCAGGUUUACCUAGAAGAUCACAAUGGCAACAGAAGUACUUUCAUCCCUUGAUUGAAAUACCAAGUUGGUAUAAAAAAGAAAAAAAACUGGUUUGGGUGAGAACUAAAAAUACCGGAAUGUUUUUUUUAUUUCUGCCAAUGUAGACUAUUUCAUCUGCUUUCUGAGAGGACUUGAGCUUGUGCCAUUCCUACAGAUGCCAACAGCAGCCUUCAGUUUGGGGUGGUCUGUUUGGUAAAGAUCAUGCAACCAGUUCACUCAAGACCACAGGGUCAAGCUUUCUGCUGCCUGUUCCAACUACAAGAAGACUCCAUUUGCUCAUAUUCCUGCAUCAGGGAUUUUUUCCCUCUCAAAGGCUGGAUGUGCAGCAGCUGAACUGUUUAUCAAAUAUGUGCUUAGUAGUCGCAAGUCUGAAGAAGUUGAAUAGUGGGGUAAGUUUAAAAAACAAACAAAAAAAAAAUGAAAAGCAAGGAAUGUGUUAGAAGGAUUAUAUGCAAGGAAAGCAAAACACAUGGAAGGUGGGCAAACCUUUUGUGGAUCAGUAAUGUAUAGGGUUCCUUGGUUUCCAAAAUGUCAUAUUAUUUUAUGCCACUUAGUUGACUGAAUAUUAAUUUCUAGGCCUGGGAAAUGCAGUUAUAUGCAAACAAUAUCAUGUGUACCCCAGUCUUAUAGGUGGCAAGGAUGGUGUAACAAUGAUAUGCAAGCAAAUGUCAAGGUUCAAUAACUUUUAGGGUGCUUACUGGAACCUGUGAAUGGUUACUCUGAAUUCACUUAGGUUUCCCAAAACAUGAAACUCGAACACUGAAAUUAUGUGAAUUUCAUAUUGACAGAAUUGUAAAUUAUUGUGAGUAUCUCUUAACUUUGGAGAGAAACAAAUGUAAUGGGAAUAUAAAAAGUGUAAAGCAUAUAGACCAUAAUUUUCCUUAAGCAAGAAUACUAAAAUACAAGGUCUUAAUGUAGUUGCAGCACACAAGGUAUACCCAAGUACACAAGCACUUUGUUAAUACCUGAAAAGGGAAGCUUAAAAAUACUGAAACCCUGAUAAACUGGGUAACUCUUUCCUAGAACACUGUUUUCCUUGUAGUGAUGUGUAAUAUUGCCACUAACAGGCAAUGUAAUAAAUAAUCUUCCAUUGAAUAGGACCAUCACAACUUUGCAGCUCCAGGGCACACAAGGUGCUUACACCAUCACCGUGCCAGAGCAUUAUAAAUAAUUUUAAGCACGAGUAUGUAACAAAAGAGUAUCUUUUUACUUCUGUUUGUCUAUACAAUUAUUAGUGUCAUGGGCUUUUUUCUGCUCUAACACUACAAACACUAUCUUAAGAGAAUGCUACCAGAAUCUAGUGCAAACUGAAACACUACCCUUAUUUAAAUAAUGCAUGUGCAUAUGGAGAUUAUUUUAUGAAAUUAUUGAAACCUAUACUUAUGCAAUACAGAACACUGAACUACAGAUAGAGAUUAUUUAAUUACUGAAUGUAUGCAUGGAAUUUAUAAAGCAAGGUGGGAAACACAUUUUAUUUUUAAACGUUAUCACAAAAGCCAUGUAUAAUUUAUAUGUGUAGUUGUUUGAUUCAGCCAGUGGCUGCUAAUAUUUUUACAAAAUGUGAUCACUUUAGACUUAAGGUCCCCAUACACGGGCCGAUUCUAGCUGCCGAUAUCGGUCCCUUAGACCGGUUCGGCAGUGGCAGCUAAUUGGGCCGUGUACGGGCACUACCGACGGGCCUGCCCGACCGAUAUCUGGCCUGAAAUCGGCCAGAUCUUCAUCGGGCAGGUUAGAAAAUCUAGUCGGAUCGGGGACCGCAUUGGCUCGUUGAUAUGGUCCCCAGACUGACUUCCUAUGCCCAUCGUUAUAAUUCGAUCGUUUGGCCCCAGGACCAAACAAUCAAAUUAUCCUGGAUUCUCCCAAUAUCACCCACCAGUGAUGGGGUAUGGGGACCUUUAGAUGUCCUUGUAAUAGAUUUUUAUUUUUAAUUCUGCCUAUUUAAAAGUGGAUAAUUGUUCCUGCGUCUCUAGAUAAAGAUCCACCAAAGACGCAUUUUAUCCCGGAAUUAAAUGCUAAUUAACAACUCUUAACAGUCAAGCAAUGGAAUUAGAAAUGCAACUCCACAUUAUUACAAUUGUAUAGUGUUGUGGAAUUAUUUUAUUUUAUGUUGGUUGAACUAAUAUUGUGCUGCUUGAUCUUUUCAGCACAAGAUAAAUAAUUCCAGGACCUAGGGGCCUAAUAAAUCUAUUAAUCAGGUUUGGCCUUUUUGCUUCAGUUAACAUUUAGGAGGUAAAUCUGUGUUCUACUAUGUAUUUGCUAAAUCUUUUUACUGUAGUGGGAAGCCUCCGGAAACACUGGCCACAGCUGAGAAAAUGGAAUAGUAAAGAAGUACUAGCAAAAUGUCUAGAAAUAUACUAUAAAACAAGGCUAAAUGCCUUGUGGGUGUUUGCUUUGACUUUCCAUACAGUAUUCAGAAGAUGCGCAGGACUCAAAAGCAGACACUUCUCCUUAGUUCCAAUGACAAAGGAGGUGUAAGCAGGGGCGUUUGCAUAUGGAGAUUAUUUUAUGAAAUUAUUGAAACCUAUACUUAUGCAAUACAGAACACUGAACUACAGAUAGAGAUUAUUUAAUUCCUGAAUGUAUGCAUGGAAUUUACAAAGCAAGGUGUAAUAAAAGCCAUGUAUAAUUUA